rnacentral:lncRNA from 1 species
UAACGCUUGCCGCCCCAUUUCCUUCCGGUGGGGGUGGCGGUGGGCUUGGUCCAGGGCUGUUUGUUGGGACAUUCCCUUCUGGUGGUGGUGAUGGAGGAGAUGAAGUCGGAGGUGAGAUUGGACCCUCCUUUGGUGGCGCUGUUGGAGGCGAGCUAGGUGAUGAUGGUGGUGGAGAUGUAGGAGGUGAAGCUGGGGGCUGGCUAGGAGGUGAUGAUGGUGGGGUCGAAGCAGGUGGUGGGGUGGCUGGAGGAGGAGUAGCCGGUGGUGGGGUUGCUGGAGGAGGAGUAGCCGGUGGUGGGGUUGCUGGAGGAGGAGUGGCGGGAGGUGGGGAUGCUGCCGGGGGAGGAGUAGACGGGGGAGGGACGGCGGGGUGGAAGGUGGCUGAGCCGGAGCAGCACCUGGAGCUUGAGCCAU